AACGCGAAGAACCUUACCUGGGUUUGACAUAUGCCGGAAACAUCUAGAGAUAGGUGCCCCGUAAGGUCGGUAUACAGGUGGUGCAUGGCUGUCGUCAGCUCGUGUCGUGAGAUGUUGGGUUAAGUCCCGCAACGAGCGCAACCCUCGUCUAUUGUUGCCAGCACGUUAUGGUGGGGACUCAAUAGAGACUGCCGGGGUCAACUCGGAGGAAGGUGGGGAUGACGUCAAGUCAUCAUGCCCCUUAUGUCCAGGGCUUCACGCAUGCUACAAUGGCUGGUACAGAGGGCUGCAAUACCGCAAGGUUGAGCGAAUCCCAAAAAGCCAGUCUCAGUUCGGAUUGGGGUCUGCAACUCGACCCCAUGAAGUCGGAGUCGCUAGUAAUCGCAGAUCAGCAACGCUGCGGUGAAUACGUUCCCGGGUCUUGUACACACCG
rnacentral:rRNA from 1 species